UAAAUACUCCCGAGAGACCGAUAGCGAACCAGUACCGUGAGGGAAAGGUGAAAAGCACUUCGAACAGAAGAGUGAAAUAGUUCCUGAAACCGUGCGCCUACAAGCGGUCGGAGCUCGUUAAUGAGUGACGGCGUGCCUUUUGCAUAAUGAACCUACGAGUUGCCUUUGCCGGCAAGGUUAAGUGUGACGACACACGUAUCCGAAGCGAAAGCGAGUCUGAACAGGGCGUAUAGUCGGCAGUGGCAGACGCGAAACCAAGUGAUCUACCCUUGGCCAGGUUGAAGGCUGGGUAACACCAGCUGGAGGACCGCACCAAUAAGCGUUGAAAAGCUUCUGGAUGAGCUGAGGGUAGGGGUGAAAGGCUAAUCAAACUUGGAGAUAGCUCGUACUCCCCGAAAUGCAUUUAGGUGCAGCCUUGCGGGUUACUGAUGUGAGGUAGAGCGACUGAUAAGAUGCGAGGGCUUCACCGCCUAUCAAGUCUUGACAAACUCCGAAUGCGCAUCAGUUCUACCGCAGGAGUGAGGGCAUGGGUGCUAAGGUCCGUGCCCGAGAGGAGAAGAAUCCGGACCACCUGCUAAGGUCCCGAAAUGACAGCUAAGUUAAACUAACGAAGUCUGACUGCUAAGACAGCUAGGAUGUUGGCUUGGAAGCAGCCAUUCAUUUAAAGAGUGCGUAACAGCUCACUAGUCGAGGAGUCGGGCGUGGAUAAUAAUCGGGUAUCAAGUUGUCUACCGAAGCAGUGGGAUCAUUUAUAUGAUCGGUAGGGGAGCAUUCCAGUCAGCGUCGAAGGCGUACCGUGAGGUAUUCUGGAGCGUCUGGAAAAGCAAAUGUAGGUAUAAGUAACGAUAAAGGGGGCGGGAAACCCCCUCGCCGAAAGACUAAGGUUUCCUGAUCAACGCUAAUCGGAUCAGGGUCAGUCGGGUCCUAAGGCUCAGCCGAACGGCGAUGCCGAUGGCAGAAACGGUUAAUAUUCCGUUACUACCUUCAGGAGUGACGUGGAGACGCAGUAGUGACAGUGCCGCCAUCUGACGGAAUAGAUGGUUGAAGGGUGUAGGAGUCGAUCAUGGCAGGCAAAUCCACCAUGAGAUCCGAACCUGAUAGUAUGCCGCGUCCUUCGGGACAAGGCAAUAGUGCGCGUAAGCAUGCUGCCGAGAAAAUCCGCUAAACUUAAUCCUGCAGGUACCCGUACCGCAAACGGACACACGUAGUCGGGAUGAAUAUUCUAAGGCGCUUGAGUGAUUCACGGUUAAGGAACUAGGCAAACUGACCCUGUAACUUCGGGAUAAAGGGUCCCUACCCUUUUAUGGGAGGGCGCAGAGAAUCGGUCCAGGCAACUGUUUAACAAAAACACAGGGCUGUGCCAAAUCGAAAGAUCCAGUAUACAGCCUGACACCUGCCCGGUGCUGGAAGGUUAAGAGGAGAUGUCAUCGAUAAGAGAAGCGUUGAAUUGAAGCCCCAGUAAACGGCGGCCGUAACUAUAACGGUCCUAAGGUAGCGAAAUUCCUUGUCGGGUAAGUUCCGACCUGCACGAAUGGUGUAAUGAUCUGGACACUGUCUCAACCGUGAGCUCAGUGAAAUUGUAGUAUCGGUGAAGAUGCCGAUUACCCGCGAUGGGACGAAAAGACCCCGUGAACCUUUACUAUAGCUUAUCAUUGAAUCUGGGCACGUGAUGUGUAGGAUAGGUCGGAGGCUUUGAAGCAGGUACGCCAGUAUUUGUGGAGCCGCUGUUGAAAUACGACCCUUUAUUUGUUUGGAUUCUAACCCGUGGAACGGGGACAUUGAUUGGUGGGUAGUUUGACUGGGGUGGUCGCCUCCAAAAGCGUAACGGAGGCUUCUAAAGGUGCCCUCCGGCCGAUUGGUAACCGGCCUUAGAGUGUAAUGGCAUAAGGGCGCUUGACUGGGAGACUAACAAGUCGAUCAGGUAGGAAACUAGAGCAUAGUGAUCCGGUGUUUCCGUAUGGAAGGGACAUCGCUCAAAGGAUAAAAGGUACUCCGGGGAUAACAGGCUGAUCCCUCCCAAGAGCUCAUAUCGACGGAGUGGUUUGGCACCUCGAUGUCGGCUCGUCACAUCCUGGGGCUGGAGAAGGUCCCAAGGGUUGGGCUGUUCGCCCAUUAAAGUGGCACGCGAGCUGGGUUCAGAACGUCGUGAGACAGUUCGGUCUCUAUCUAUCGUGGGCGCAUGAAAUUUGCGUGGCUCUGACACUAGUACGAGAGGACCGUGUUGGACUGACCUCUGGUUUACCGGUUGUGCCGCCAGGUGCAUUGCCGGGUAUCUAAGUCGGGAUUGGAUAAGUGCUGAAAGCAUCUAAGUACGAAGCCAGCCACAAGAUUAGAUUUCUCAGGGUCGUUGUAGACUACAACGUUGAUAGGAUGCAGGUGUACAGGCAGCGAUGUCAUAGCCGAGCAUUACUAAUUGCCCGUCCACUUUUUGCC
rnacentral:rRNA from 1 species